rnacentral:rRNA from 1 species
UCCCUUAUAAGAUCCCUCGAAGAUGACGAGGUUAAUAGGUUCGAGGUGGAAGCGUGGUGACACGUGGAGCUGACGAAUACUAAUCGAUCGAAGACUUAAUCAA